ensembl:snRNA U6 U6 spliceosomal RNA
AUGCUUGCUUCUGCAGCACAUAUACUAAACAAAUGAAAUUAUACAGAGAAGAUUAGCAUGGCCUCUGCACAAGAAUGACACACAUCUGUGAAGUGUUCCAUAUUAAA